UACGGGGGGGGCAAGCGUUGUUCGGAAUUACUGGGCGUAAAGGGCUCGUAGGCGGCCAACUAAGUCGGAUGUGAAAUCCCCAGGCUUAACCUGGGAACUGCAUCCGAUACUGGAUGGCUUGAAUUCGGGAGAGGGAUGCAGAAUUCCAGGUGUAGCGGUGAAAUGCGUAGAUAUCUGGAGGAAUACCGGUGGCGAAGGCGGCAUCCUGGACCGACAUUGACGCUGAUGAGCGAAAGCUAGGGGAGCAAACGGGG
rnacentral:rRNA from 1 species